UUUCAUUCUAAAAAAAGUCAUUGGGUCAUUCUGGGUAAUAAGUAAGAAGUGUAAGUUAUAUUUUAACACAGUUUGAGGGCUGUUAACACUAAUGAUGUGCUUAAUGUCCCAUGGAGCUCUAGUUUAGUCAUCAUUAGGUAUCAAACACUUGUCAGCCUGUUGGUUUUGGUCGCAUUAUUUCAGGACAGCGAGUACUUCAACUCCCUGCGAUGGAUCUUGGAGAACGAUCCCACAGAUCUGGACCUCAGGUUCACCAUCGACGAGGAGCUCUUUGGACAGACGCACCAGCAUGAGCUGAAACCAGGAGGUGCUGAUAUUGUGAUCAAUGACAACAACAAAAAGGAGUAUAUUCAUCUGGUGAUGCAGUGGAGGUUUGUGGAUCGGAUCCAGAAACAGAUGACGGCCUUCAAGGAGGGUUUCUAUGAGCUGAUCCCUCAGGACCUGAUCAAGAUCUUUGAUGAAAACGAGCUGGAGCUGCUGAUGUGUGGCUUAGGAGACGUGGACGUCAACGACUGGAGAGAAAACACCAAAUAUAAAAAUGGCUACAACCCAAAUCACCCUGUCAUCAUCUGGUUC